AUUGAACGCUGGCGGCAGGCCUAACACAUGCAAGUCGAACGGUAACAGGAAGAAGCUUGCUUCUUUGCUGAUGAGUGGCGGACGGGUGAGUAAUGUCUGGGAAACUGCCUGAUGGAGGGGGAUAACUACUGGAAACGGUAGCUAAUACCGCAUAACGUCGCAAGACCAAAAAGGGGGACCUUCGGGCCUCUUGCCAUCGGAUGUGCCCAGAUGGGAUUAGCUAGUAGGUGGGGUAACGGCUCACCUAGGCGACGAUCCCUAGCUGGUCUGAGAGGAUGACCAGCCAAACUGGAACUGAGACAGGGUCCAGCCUCCUAGGGGAGGCAGCAGGGGGGAAUAUGGCACAAGGGGCGAAAGCCGGAUGCAGCCAUGCCGGGUGUAUGAAGAAGGCCUUCGGGUUGUAAAGUACUUUCAGGGGGGAGGAAGGGGGUAAAGUUAAUACCUUUGCUCAUUGACGUUACCCGCAGAAGAAGCCCCGGCUAACCCCGU
rnacentral:rRNA from 1 species